rnacentral:rRNA from 1 species
AGUAAAUAGAUACCCUGGUAGUCCAUGCUGUAAACGAUGGAUGCUAGCUGUGAUGCGUAUCGACCCGCGUCGUAGCGAAGCUAACGCGUUAAGCAUCCCGCCUGUGGAGUACGGCCGCAAGGCUAAAAACAUAAAGGAAUUGACGGGGACCCGCACAAGCGGUGGAGCGUGUUGUUUAAUUCGAUGGUAAGCGAAGAACCUUACCCAGGUUUGACAUCCUUGGAAGUUCUGCGAAAGCAGAGUGUGCCUUCGGGAACCAAGUGACAGGUGAUGCAUGGCCGUCUUCAGCUCGUGUCGUGAGACGUUAGGUUAAGUCCUUCAACGAGCGCAACCCUUAUAGUUAGUUGUAUUUUCUAGCUAGACUGCCCUGGUAACAGGGAGGAAGGAGGGGACGAUGUCAGGUCAGUAUCUCCCUUAUAUCUGGGGCUACAAACACGCUACAAUGGCCGGUACAAAGGGAAGCCAACCCGCGAGGGGAGCAAAUCCCAUCAAAGCCGGUCUCAGUUCGGAUUGUAGGCUGAAACUCGCCUGC